rnacentral:rRNA from 1 species
CCUACGGGUGGCAGCAGUGGGGAAUAUUGCACAAUGGGGGAAACCCUGAUGCAGCGACGCCGCGUGAGUGAAGAAGUAAUUCGUUAUGUAAAGCUCUAUCAGCAGGGAAGAAAAUGACGGUACCUGAGUAAGAAGCCCCGGCUAACUACGUGCCAGCAGCCGCGGUAAUACGUAGGGGGCAAGCGUUAUCCGGAUUUACUGGGUGUAAAGGGAGCGUAGACGGCAGUGCAAGUCUGGAGUGAAAGGCGGGGGCUCAACCCCCGGACUGCUCUGGAAACUGUACGGCUGGAGUGCAGGAGAGGUAAGUGGAAUUCCUAGUGUAGCGGUGAAAUGCGUAGAUAUUGCGCAGAACUCCGAUUGCGAAGGCAGCGUACCGGCGCCAGACUGAUGCUGAGGCACGAAAGCGUGGGGAUCGAACAGGAUUAGAUACCCCAGUAGUC